AUAUUAAACACUCACUUUGUAUAGGCUCCAGGCUUCGUCGUCAGAUUGGCCAUUAAUCACGCUGGCAGCCGUCACGAAAACAACAAUCGCAACCAGAAACUUCAUUUUUCGCUACACUGCCGAGGAUAAGAAGCAUUAUGCCAGCGGGUUACAACGACUACCCCAAACGUGUAUUUGCAAGCUUAAAAAGUUCACGCUGAUCGUUUCCCCUACAUAAACUGGUUUUCAAAGGAUUGCUACGAGAACAACGGUGCCAUCUCGCUUACCAGAUGAUUCAACUGGCCUUUUGCGAUCUAAGUUACAUUUGGAAAUCGGGGAAGCAAGUGCCUGAAGAUAAGGUCUUCAACACGUGUACCAUCAUCGUUUCGUGUUUCUUUGGAUCGGCUGUUUCAGUCCGAGUUUUUGCCACGGCCAUCUGUCGAAUGUGAUGGCUUUACAAUUCGAUUCAAACAUGUCCCUAUUUGUCGAAAGUUUUCAUGUACAGAAAAUGUCAAAUAAUAUAAUACAGAGGCAAGGAUUUAAAAACAGUUUAAAUUAAAUAUUAAAAUUCGUCAGCUCUUGGCAGUUAAAUAAUUAAACUGCUACAACGAAAGCAGGAUAACUUUCGAUGUUGCAUUUGUUGACACCACGCUGGAUGCGAAAGUAGCCAGCCAUCCCCCAAUCGGUUCCCCAUGAGUUACGCACCAUCCAGAAUUUCACUCCGUUUAGCUCGCCCCAGCCAACAACAACGACACCGUGAUUCACAGUAGUUCCAUCGCAAGCGUUAUCAGAGUACACUCCGCUCCUGCAAAAUUGUCGAACAAUAUCAAAGUUCAAACAACAUAAUCGACACUUCACAGUCCUCUUAAGCCAUAGAACAAGGGGAUGACAUUCAUGGCCACAGCAAGAGGACCAUAUUUCUGCAGAGCUAAUUGCAUUGCCGUCUCAUUUUUGGGCUGAACGUAACCGGACGAAGAGACCCUAGCUCCUACCAUCCAUGUUCUGAAUCUGCAUGUGCCAACCUAGAAAAUAAUGAAAAAAGAGCAAAGAAACAAAAAAUCAAGAUUUACCCUAGCGAGAUAUUCGUAAGAGGAUUUUCUCGCAGAUCCGCCGACCCUCUUAAUGUGAUCCCAAGCAGUCACGUACCAACCACCAUUGCAUCCACCGCUUGUUCUAUCGCAAUCCACCAGUUGUUGUUCGCUGAAAUGUAAGAAUAAGAAAUUCAUUGGAAGAAUACCCUGCUAAAGUCAAACUUAACUCACCUCAAAAGAAUGGCAGUGCCGGCUCUCUUGCAUCUGGCGAAUUCGAGGGGGGUAAUUGCGCUGAAAGCCCAGCAACUUCCACACUUUAAAUAAAUGAUGACGAGCUAUUAAUUCCACAAAACAAACAACGAGAAAUCGAAUUAAAAAGUUAGAUUAUAUUGCUUAUGCAAAUAUAUGUUGUAUUUUUUUAAAUUGUACUUACACUCAAAAGGGAGACGUUGGCGACUUUCUAUGUCGUCGGCAAAUGUUUCUACAGAUCGGUUGGAAGGAACGGAAUCAGCUUUGAUACCGAGAAAUCUAUUCAACUCGAUGGGCGCCUAGAACAAAAAAACAAACAAUCAAGACUUGAUAUUCACAUUUACUUACGCCCAAUUCCAAUUUACUGUGUAAUAUAUAAAUGUUUAAGAAUUUCAUUGCCUCUUACCAUGUCGGAAAACUUGUUCAGUUCUAGCAAAUAGGUGCCAGAUUUUUCGCUGUUAUGUUUAUUGAUUUCAGCAUUUCUGAUUUCGAAAAGGGCUCUCCGUAUUCGCUCUUGGUUUCCAUUGUCAAAAGGAAAUCUGUAAUUUUUUUUGUGUUUUUUCUUUUCAGGUUAAAAUUUUCGUUAGUAGUUUCAAUUAAGCAAUUCCUCCGGCUACUGGUAAUUUUUUAACAGCAGAAUAAGAAUUCAUUGUUCUGUUUAUCUUUAGACUCACCUUGUAAUCGUUCCAGGCCUCUUCAUCGGAAUAGCAGUUGAUGACAGUGAAGACCAUCGCAAAAACAGCCAGAACAAAAGGGAGUCUCAUUUUUUUUAAAGUAAAAAUCCUGUCCAAGUCCAAAUCAUCAGUAGUGUUAACAUAGCACAAAAUAGAAAAAUAAAAUUAAUUAUGUUUCUUUUU